rnacentral:lncRNA from 1 species
UUCAACCCACAAGAUCCCGAUCAAGCCAGCCACUUUGUGUCGGAUGGAAGGACUCUCUUCUGCCUUGAGCUCACCAAGAACUUCAAUCCUGAUGACGAAGCUGACAUAGAUAAGGUUAGAUUUUCCCAUACAAACAACAAAGAUCACCUAAUGUGUAGAAAUCUUGAUUCAUUUUGUUGUUGUUGUUGUACCUUAUGCAGGAAAUUAAGUGGUUAUUAUCUGAAUUAAGCUACAUCCCAUCAACACUGUUUGUUACACAAGUUUCAUAUGUGGAAUUCUUGGACAGGGUCCAUGCAGCAGAGCUCAAAAUGCGAUCAAAAGGGCUGUGGGAUCUCCCACACCCAUGGCUCAAUCUCCUCGUGCCGCGCUCCAAAAUCCACACCUUCGCCGACGGCGUCUUCGGCAACAUUCUAACCGACACCAACAACGGCCCCGUCCUCAUCUACCCAGUAAACAAAUCAAAGUAAUCAUUCAUCGCCUCAAAGACUGGUCUUUUUUUUUUGGUUCAGACAUUUCGUCGAACAGAUUGUGAUCGUUUUGAAUUCCUCCAGGUGGGACAACAGAACUUCGUUCGUGACGCCGGAUGAAGACGUGUUCUACCUGGUGGCGUUCCUCCCGCACGCGGCGGAGAGCGAGGGGCUGCAGAAUCUGCUGAAUCAGAACAGGAGAAUCUUGAAUUUCUGCGAUGCGGCGGAGCUGGGAGUGAAGCAGUAUCUGCCGCACUACAAAACGCAGGAGGAAUGGCGGGCCCAUUUCGGGGCGCGGUGGGAGAUCUUUGCGCAGAGGAAAUCGGCCUACGAUCCUCUCGCGAUUCUCGCGCCGGGGCAGAGGAUUUUCCAGAAAUCCAUCUCGAUUUUAUGACGGAAAAAGAGAAAAACUCAACUCAUGAUACAACCAAAUUUUCAGCUUUAAGAAGAAAAGCCUGAAUAUGGAAUUAAAUACAACUAUUGUAUAGAUAUAUUAAUUAUCGUUAUUUUUUUAUACCUUCUCAGAUCUUAAAAGAAAACAACUGUAAAGUAUCAAGGGGAGGAAAUAUUCUAAACUGCUUAAACAAAUUACUCCAUUUUUUUUUUAUCAGUAAAAUAUAACUUUUAUUGAAAGAAAAUGAAUCAAGGCAUCAGGAAUGCCAAUCAACACAACAAUACAAGUUUGAAAUCUUUGGAACACCAAGAAGUAAAAGAAAUUCCUAACUCCACGAUUUUGUAGGCCUCGUUUCAACUCCAAAGUCUCCCCUUAAUCUGUAAUACAAGUCUAUCAAUAUCUCAAGCCUUGUCCUGGAAACGACUACCAUUCACUCCAUUUAGUAGUAACAUUUUAUUUUAACAUUACUACAAAGUAUAUACUUAAUUUCCCAUUUAUUUGGUAACUUCGCAAGCUGUUUAAAUUUCACCUAUAUUGCAUAUAAAGUAUAAGCCAUAGAAAAAUAUGUUUGCUUGGUUCAUAUCUAAGACAAAAUACAUAUUGUUGCCAAUUAUUCGACGAAGACAAAAUUACGUGUUCACACAGUUUCAUUCUGGUCUUUUCAACGAGUGUGAGAUCC